rnacentral:rRNA from 1 species
GAUGAACGCUGGCGGCGUGCCUAAUACAUGCAAGUCGAGCGAACAGAUGAGGAGCUUGCUCCUCUGACGUUAGCGGCGGACGGGUGAGUAACACGUGGAUAACCUACCUAUAAGACUGGGAUAACUUCGGGAAACCGGAGCCAAUACCGGAUAAUAUAUUGAACCGCAUGGUUCAAUAGUGAAAGACGGUUUUGCUGUCACUUAUAGAUGGAUCCGCGCCGCAUUAGCUAGUUGGUAAGGUAACGGCUUACCAAGGCAACGAUGCGUAGCUGACCUGAGAGGGUGAUCGGCCACACUGGAACUGAGACACGGUCCAGACUCCUACGGGAGGCAGCAGUAGGGAAUCUUCCGCAAUGGGCGAAAGCCUGACGGAGCAACGCCGCGUGAGUGAUGAAGGUCUUCGGAUCGUAAAACUCUGUUAUUAGGGAAGAACAAAUGUGUAAGUAACUAUGCACGUCUUGACGGUACCUAAUCAGAAAGCCACGGCUAACUACGUG